UGACGCCGUUGACUACAAUAUACUGUUGAGCUUACAAAGACAGGCAAGCAAUUAAGAACAUGACCUCUGGUGGAAACAAGAUGCAGAACCUGAUGAUGACAGAAUGUGGAGGAAAGGUAAAAGACUAUGUUUGCCACAAGUAUUGUACCCCAUGAUGGUCCAGAUUGCCCAUGGACCUACACAUCUAUCCAAGAUGCACAUGAACAGCAUAGUAAAUACCCAUUGGGUAGCACCCGGAAUCAGUGGCGGAUCCAGAGCCUGAUCUCGGGAGGGGCACUUGUAGAUUAUUUAAUUAAAUAAUCCAGGCACAAUAACCACUACAGCUCAGUGUAGUAGUUAUGGUGUCAGUAGUGCCAGGAUUCCACCCCAGAGUAAGUAGUCAUACCGUUUAAGAACAGUUUGACAACUUAUCUGGGGUCUGCUGGGAUAUAGG